GGACUACAGGGGUAUCUAAUCCGUCUUGCUCCCCACGCUUUCGUGCCUCAACGUCAGGAACCGAAUAGUUAACUGCCUUCGCCAAUUGGUGUUCCUCUAUAUAUUUACGCAUUUUACCGCUACACAUAGAAUUCCGUUAACCCCUCCGGCCCUCUAGUUGAAUAGUAUUACUGACUUCCACGGGGUUGAGCCCCGGUUUCCCACCAAUAACUUAUUCAACCGCCUACGCACCCUUUACGCCCAAUAAUUCCGGAUAACGUUUGCCGCCUAUGUCUUACCGCGGCUGCUGGCAC
rnacentral:rRNA from 1 species